UUCUCCUAAGCUUUUUGAUGCAGU
rnacentral:snRNA from 1 species